GCCGGCUUAGCUCAGUUGGUAGAGCAACUGAUUUGUAAUCAGUAGGUCUGCGGUUCGAGUCCGCAAGCCGGCUCCA
rnacentral:tRNA from 2 species